rnacentral:tmRNA from 1 species
GGGGGCGCACCGGUUUCGACGGGAUUGAAUCGUUGUGGGAAGGCGUGCCGGGUUCCGAGCUCCCGUAAAACGAUCGGAAAACAACAACUGCCAACAACACGCAGUUUGCAUACGCUGCCUAAUUAAUUAGGUAGCCGCUGCGGUCUCUGGCUCCUGUCUGGAGGCCUGUCGGCGUCUUAAUGCAGGAUGGGCCUAACGCUUCGGUCCGGAGCGGACAGCCGAGAUCAAUCGGGCUAAGCCGACCGGCUCUUGCCGGUUCCUCACCGGUCGGACGAAAACCACCGAAUCGGACACGCACGUAGUCUUUUCAUGGCGGACUUUCUCGGACGCGGGUUCAAUUCCCGCCGCCUCCACCA